UGCAAGUCGAAACGAGCUCUCCCAAAUUGGAUUUUAUGCUUGCAUAAAUGAUUUUUGCCAUUCNGAGCGAGUGGCGAACUGGUGAGUAACACGUGGGUAACCUGCCCCGAAGCGGGGGAUAACAUUUGGAAACAAGUGCUAAUACCGCAUAAUUAGUUGGAACCGCAUGGUUCCAACUUGAAAGAUGGCUCUGCUNUCACUUUGGGAUGGACCCGCGCCGUAUUAGUUAGUUGGUGAGAUAAAAGCCCACCAAGACGAUGAUACGUAGCCGACCUGAGAGGGUAAUCGGCCACAUUGGGACUGAGACACGGCCCAGACUCCUACGGGAGGCAGCAGUAGGGAAUCUUCCACAAUGGACGAAAGUCUGAUGGAGCAACGCCGCGUGAGUGAUGAAGGUUUUCGGAUCGUAAAACUCUGUUGUUAAAGAAGAACAAGUGUUAGAGUAACUGUUAACACUUUGACGGUAUUUAACCAGAAAGCCACGGCUAACUACGUGCCAGCAGCCGCGGUAAUACGUAGGUGGCAAGCGUUGUCCGGAUUUAUUGGGCGUAAAGCGAGCGCAGGCGGUUUUGUAAGUCUGCUGUGAAAGCCCUCAGCUCAACUGAGGAAGUGCAGUGGAAACUACAAAACUUGAGUACAGAAGAGGAAAGUGGAACUCCAUGUGUAGCGGUGAAAUGCGUAGAUAUAUGGAAGAACACCAGUGGCGAAGGCGGCUUUCUGGUCUGUUACUGACGCUGAGGCUCGAAAGCAUGGGUAGCGAACAGGAUUAGAUACCCUGGUAGUCCAUGCCGUAAACGAUGAAUACUAGGUGUUGGAGGGUUUCCGCCCUUCAGUGCCGCAGCUAACGCAUUAAGUAUUCCGCCUGGGGAGUACGACCGCCAAGGUUGAAACUCAAAGGAAUUGACGGGGGCCCGCACAAGUGGUGGAGCAUGUGGUUUAAUUCGAUGCUACGCGAAGAACCUUACCAGCUCUUGACAUCUUCUGCCAACCCAAGAGAUUGGGCGUUCCCUUCGGGGACAGAAUGACAGGUGGUGCAUGGUUGUCGUCAGCUCGUGUCGUGAGAUGUUGGGUUAAGUCCCGCAACGAGCGCAACCCUUAUUAUUAGUUGCCAGCAUUUAGUUGGGCACUCUAGUGAGACUGCCGGUGAUAAACCGGAGGAAGGUGGGGACGACGUCAAAUCAUCAUGCCCCUUAUGAGCUGGGCUACACACGUGCUACAAUGGAUGGUACAACGAGUCGCGAAACCGCGAGGUCAAGCUAAUCUCUUAAAGCCAUUCUCAGUUCGGAUUGCAGGCUGCAACUCGCCUGCAUGAAGUUGGAAUCACUAGUAAUCGUGGAUCAGCAUGCCACGGUGAAUACGUUCCCGGGCCUUGUACACACCGCCCGUCACACCAUGAGAGUUUGUAACACCCA
rnacentral:rRNA from 2 species